GAUGAACGCUGGCGGCGUGCUUAACACAUGCAAGUCGAACGAACCUUCGGGUUAGUGGCGGACGGGUGAGUAACGCGUGAGAAUCUGCCCUCAGGAGGGGGACAACAGUUGGAAACGACUGCUAAUACCCCAUAUGCCGCGAGGUGAAAUGAAUUUCGCCUGAGGAUGAGCUCGCGUCUGAUUAGCUAGUUGGUGUAGGUAAUGGCUCACCAAGGCAUCGAUCAGUAGCUGGUCUGAGAGGAUGAUCAGCCACACUGGGACUGAGACACGGCCCAGACUCCUACGGGAGGCAGCAGUGGGGAAUUUUCCGCAAUGGGCGAAAGCCUGACGGAGCAACGCCGCGUGAGGGAUGAAGGCCUCUGGGCUGUAAACCUCUUUUAUCAAGGAAGAAGAUCUGACGGUACUUAAUGGAUAAGCCACGGCUAAUUCCGUG
rnacentral:rRNA from 1 species